ensembl:lncRNA
GGGAGGCGGGGAGGGGGCUCUUCGGGAGGAACAGCCUCGUGGGGGUCCUUCCCGCAGUGCUGCUCCUUUAAGGCCAAGCCCCGCCUCUCUUUGGUUCCAGGGUGACGUCACGGCAAGGCCAGCCCCGCCCCGAUCCCUUGGAAACAGGCAGGCAGAGGGGAGGGGGGCCUCCGCGGGCGGAAGUGAGGGGGCGCUUCCGGUUGGGCCCAGCCGAGGGAGAGGCGCCAACUCUUCGCGUGUUCCUCGGGAGCCUCGCGCGGACUCAGAACCCGGACCCUUCCCCCGGCAGAGAAGGCUGUCCUGCGAAAGGAGGGAGGCUGCAGGGAGGGAGUGGCAGAAGAAGCUUCAGGCUGAAGUGGAAAAGAACCAGCAGGUGCAGAAAGGUGAGGCGGACUUGGGAGUUGAAAAAGCCAUCCUCAGCUUAUACUUGGGUGCUUUCCUGCCAGGACCCUCACCUCUCCGCACAGCAACCCAGCUCUCCUUCCUCUUCUGCUCUCUUGUGCAGUGCUCACCUUCCUCUCUUCCUUUCUCGACGCAGUGCACACCUUCCUCUCCUCUUUCAACGCAGUGUGCACCUUCCUCCCCUCUCGGUGUAGUGUGCACCUUCCUCUCCUCUCUCGACGCGGUGCGCACCUUCCUUUCCUCCUCUCAACGCAGUGCGCACCUCUCUCCUCUCUCGGUGCAGUGUGUACCUUCCUCUCCUCCUUUCUCGACGCAGUGUGCACCUUCCUCUCCUCUCGAAGCAGUGCGCACCUUCCUCCUCUCUCGAUGCAGUGCGCACCUUCCUCUCCUCUCUCGACGCAGUGCGCACCUUCCUCCUCUCUUGACACAGUGUGCACCUUCCUCUCCUCUCUCGACACAGUGCACACCUUCCUCUCCUCUCUUGACGCAGUGCGCACCUUCCUCUCCUCUCUCGGUGCAGUGUGUACCUUCCUCUCCUCCUUUCUCGACGCAGUGCGCACCUUUCUCUCUUGACACAGUGUGCACCUUCCUCUCCUCUCUCGACGCAGUGUGCACCUUCCUCUCCUCUCUCGACGCAGUGUGCACCUUCCUCUCCUCUCUUGACGCAGUGCGCACCUUCCUCUCCUCUCUCGGUGCAGUGUGUACCUUCCUCUCCUCCUUUCUCGACGCAGUGCGCACCUUUCUCUCCUCUCUUGACACAGUGUGCACCUUCCUCUCCUCUCUCGACGCAGUGUGCACCUUCCUCUCCUCUCUCGACGCAGUGUGCACCUUCCUCUCCUCUCUCGACGCAGUGUGCACCUUCCUCUCCUCUCUCGACGCAGUGUGCACCUUCCUCUCCUCUCUCGAUGCAGUGCGCACCUUCCUUUCCUCCUCUUGACACAGUACGUACAUUCCUCUCCUCUCUUGGUGCAGUGUGUACCUUCCUCUCCUCCUCUCUCAACGCAGUGUGCACCUUCCUUUCCUCCUCUUGACGCAGUACGUACAUUCCUCUCCUCCUCGGUGCUCGUCUUUUCCACUUUUCCUUAUUCCUUUACACACAGCAUAUCCCCCAAAAUGUAUACUGAAAAUAAGCUAUGGUGAUUAUUGGAAGCAAAUUUACAUUGAAGGAGGUUAGAAUAAUGAUUUAAUCAGAGUUGGGCAGCCUUAAAUCUUAAAUUCCAGUUGUAUGUAAAUAUUUAAAAACAUUUAACCUACUGAUGCCUCAAUAAUAUAAUUUUAUUGCUAUCUACCCCACCUUUCUCUACCCAGAAGGGGACUCAUUGUUAAGAUACGACAUGAAGACAAAAUAUUAAUUAAUUAUAUCAGUAUUCAACAGGCUUUUAAACAUUAUUACAGUUUUUUUUCGUGUCAGGAACAACUUGAGAAACUGCAAGUCACUUCUGGAGUGAGAGAAUUGGCCGUCUGCAAGGACGUUGCCCAGGGGACGCCCGGAUGUUUUGAUGUUUUUACCAUCCUUGUGGGAGGCUUCUCUCAUGUCCCCGCAUGGAGCUGGAGCUGAUAGAGGGAGCUCAUCCACGCUCUCCCCGGGUG